UACGUAGGUGGCGAGCGUUGUCCGGAAUUAUUGGGCGUAAAGCGCGCGUAGGUGGGAUAUUAAGUCUAUUCUAAAAGUGCGGGGCUCAACCCCGUAAAGGGAUGGAAACUAAUAUUCUUGAGUACCGGAGAGGAAAGCGGAAUUCCCAGUGUAGCGGUGAAAUGCGUAGAUAUUGGGAGGAACACCAGUGGCGAAGGCGGCUUUCUGGACGGUGUCUGACACUGAGGCGCGAAAGCUAGGGGAGCAAACAGG
rnacentral:rRNA from 1 species